GGGAAGGUGGCUCAGUGGUAGAGCGCCUGCCUUGCAUGCAUGAGGCCGUGGGUUCGAUUCCUCAGUACCA
rnacentral:tRNA from 1 species